rnacentral:rRNA from 1 species
CCUACGGGAGGCUGCAGUGGGGAAUAUUGGACAAUGGGCGAAAGCCUGAUCCAGCCAUGCCGCGUGUGUGAAGAAGGCCUUCGGGUUGUAAAGCACUUUCAGUGGGGAAGAAAGCCUUGGGGCUAAUACCCUCGAGGAAGGACAUCACCCACAGAAGAAGCACCGGCUAACUCCGUGCCAGCAGCCGCGGUAAUACGGAGGGUGCGAGCGUUAAUCGGAAUUACUGGGCGUAAAGCGCGCGUAGGCGGUCUGAUAAGCCGGUUGUGAAAGCCCCGGGCUCAACCUGGGAACGGCAUCCGGAACUGUCAGGCUAGAGUGCAGGGGAGGAAGGUAGAAUUCCCGGUGUAGCGGUGAAAUGCGUAGAGAUCGGGAGGAAUACCAGUGGCGAAGGCGGCCUUCUGGACUGACACUGACGCUGAGGUGCGAAAGCGUGGGUAGCAAACAGGAUUAGAUACCCCGGUAGUC